rnacentral:misc_RNA from 1 species
AAGGCGUAACAAGGUUUACGUAGGUGAACCUGCGUUCAGUGGUUUGGUCUUCCCCUCAAACCACUUCAAUGAAUGUCAGUGUCAUUGAAGUGUGAUGGGGAAGUCGCUUAACGACGCUGUAGGCUCAGGCGCAAGCCCCCUAAAACUCCCUUCUGUCGUGGUUGGGCGUAAAAACGAACAACUAUUAACAAUGGAUAUCUUGGUUCUC